rnacentral:lncRNA from 1 species
UGCAGGUCUGCCCUCUAGGAUCAGGAGCACUAUAAACGUCCUGUAAAGCUGUCUUUUUAAUAGCCUUCUCAGAAGCAGCCUAAAGAAGAUGGCCUUUUCCUCCUGCAGUCCCAUGGAUGGCAGAUAAAGUGGAUUCUCAGCACAGAGGCCUCAGAGGAGAAGUGCCUUCUACAGUGUAGGUGUACAGCAAGCAUGGAAUGAAUAUUGCAAUUGGGUAGAAGCAGAGCUAAAGAAGGAAUAAGGCCUGGAGCUCACUCUGCCUGUGUCCGAGAACACCUUGAAACGUUCUCUACAUGGAUUUCACUCACAUUACAGAUCCUCCCUUUGGAGGGACAGCAUCGUGCCAUGAUAGGUCUGUUUUUCUAGGAUAUAAGAAAAGGGCAGAACGCAGAGCCCAGAUUGUUUUCCUUGGUGUGUAGCCCUGGGGCGAUAGAUCACCAGAGUUGAAGAGUGACCUGCUGAGAAAGUAUGGGAGAGCUUCUGGGUAAUGCACGAAAGAAACCCAGGAUGAGCAGAAGGG